AAUAAACAAUUGCUUAAUCUGUAAUGGUAUUUUUCUUUCUAUUAGUGCAUCACACAUAAAAUUUUCACUCAUGUGGAGUUGAAGAAAACUACUGCAGCAGUCCUGACGGGAAUGGAAAUAGGCCAUGGUGUUUCACAACCAAUCCUGCUACCAGAUUAGAUUACUGUGGCAUCCCAGAGUGUAAAGGCCAGAAUAUAAAGCACAGUUGCCAGCAACAUGAACUGAGUUUCAGGUUUGUUGCAGGGCAGGAGCAGAGGAUGUCUGAGAUCAUUUUAGGCUUAAUGUUACAACCGGACAAAUAACAUAUUCUCUUCAUUGUACUAGACAAAGUUAGCUCCUACCUGUGUUCCAAGCUGACUGUUGACAGUUCAUUUAAAUUCAAUGUAUGCAGUUGCCACAUUUGGUUUGUACUUAUUUUAUGCUAGUGAAUUUCAGUAACCAAGAAGUGACCUGUUACAACAUGUGCAGCUGAUCACUGCCACAUCAUCAGGGGGAAAGGAGAGGUUUGGGUGGGAGAAGUUCCCCGUAGAUGAGAAGGAGCAAGAUUCCCCUCAAAGGGAAGCCCAGAUUAGGACAGAAAAAUAAAAUUCAACAUAAUACCUGAGAAAUAUGGAGGAAACAAGGCAAAUGUAUGGGUAAGCAUCCAUACCGUGGGCAUGUAAGAUAUUGUCCAGCAUUGUAGCUUGCUGUGUUCUUAUGUACAGUUUUGACAUUUACUUUAAACACAAUAAAACAUGUACCAAUAAAUGUCA